rnacentral:misc_RNA from 1 species
GAUGAAGAACGCAGCGAAAUGCGAUACGUAAUGUGAAUUGCAGAAUUCAGUGAAUCAUCGAGUCUUUGAACGCACAUUGCGCCCCCUGGUAUUCCGGGGGGCAUGCCUGUCCGAGCGUCAUUGCUGCCCUCAAGCACGGCUUGUGUGUUGGGCCUCCGUCCUCCUCCCGGGGGACGGGCCCGAAAGGCAGCGGCGGCACCGCGUCCGGUCCUCGAGCGUAUGGGGCUUCGUCACCCGCUCUUGUAGNNNNGGCCGGCGCUUGCCGACACAUCAAUCUUUUUUCCAGGUUGACCUCGGAUCAGGUAGGGAUACCCGCUGAACUUAAGCAUAUCAAUAAGCGGAGGA